AGACGGAACUUCCACAGCCCUUGGCAGAGGCAUGGCUGCGAUGACUUCAUGUUUGCAUUAAGGACUUUCGGGAUGGGACAAAGCUCGUCUUUAUUUCAGGGCCGAUGACCUCGGUCUGAGUGGGUGACCUCCCUCCUAACUGAUGGGAGAUGAGAUCUCAAUGCUGAAUAAAAAGUGACAUAGACCCGAAGGGCAUCCGAGCAGCCCUCCAGCAUUUCCUGACACCUGUUGGGUGCCGCCCACUGUCCCGGGUGCCCAGGACAGCAGCCCUGCCCUGGAGACUUCAGCCUGGUGCAUCUCACCUUGGCGUGAGCAUUAGCAUCACCUGGGGAGCUCCGACAAACAGCUACACUUGGCCUCCACCUGAGACCAAUUAAAUCAGACCCUCUGGGGUGGGACCCACACGCUGGCAUUUUUCUAAAGCUCCCAGGAUGAUUUGCAACCAGGGUUUCGAGUUACUACACUAGUGAUUAAAAGCCCACAUUUGUUCAUCGUUUAUCUUGCACCAGGCUCUAAGAAUUUUAUAUAUGUAAAUAUUAAUUCAUUUACUCUUCACAGGAUCCUUUGAAGAUAGGUACUAUUAUCAUUAUCCUUCUUUUACAGAUGGGGAAACUGAGGCACAGGGUGGUGAAGUCAUUUCCCUCCUGGUGCUAACGAGUCCCAGGCAGGCUGAUCCCUGAGUCUGUGCACCUAAACACUGCACAUUGCUGCCAGAUGGGAUAGGACCAGCCUUGUGCAAACAUGGAGGAGAAAAAGAUCUGGAAGUCAAAGUGGGCCACAAGCCAAAUACAAAUGUCAGUUUAAUGGGAAAAGUAUGGGUUUUUUUGGGAGUGGGAAAGAUCUGAGUUCAAAUCCUGGGCUGGUCACUCCCCAGCUGCAUGAUCCUAGGCAAGGAAGUUAUUUAACAUUUUUGUGCCUCUGCCUCCCCAUGGGCGAGUAAUGAGCGCUCCCACAGAGGUGUUGAGACAGCAAAUGGAAAACACCCAGCACACGGCCUGGCAAACAGGGUGGAGAGUGUUUGGUGAGGGCUGAGUCUGCAUCUGCCCUUCCUCCCCCACCUCCUCCCACCCCACCCCCACCACCUGAAGGGGCUCCUCGGGACCUGCCAGCGCCAGACGCACACCCCACAGAGCGGAGACGGAUUUGUUUUGAAAGGAUGUUGUUGGACGAGGCAGUUCCUCCCCAGCCCAGAAAUGACAGCUCUUUCAUCAGCAUUCCUGAUCACAGCCGGCCUCGCCCACAGCCGGCCUCCGUCCUGGGGCGGAAGGAUGGGUUCUCGGCAGCAGCCGGGGAAUGCCCGACGUCCGGCGCACGGGAACUCCGGGUGCACAUGUAUCAGGCCCCUGGGCUUUUGCAUCAACCCCGCCUCAGCUGCUCCUCAAAGAAGGAGCUACCCUGCAGAGCUGCUCCAGAGCGGGCGGAAGGGAAACCACUUUUUUAUUACUAUACAGGACAUCCCUCUCUUUUGGUGAACACAAGGGCUUUAGAACGUGCACGCUCUCCAGGUGACCAGCCAGGUGAUCUGGAAGCAUCUCUCAUUCGACAUCUCCUGCUCUCAUCGGCAGGUGACUUUACUCGUCCACACUCCCUGAAGAAUGACCUUAUCUUAGGAGGAUUCCGUUUCCAAGUCUCUUUCAAAGUAAAGAACCUCCACCUUUUCCACCCCAGCCCGGGCAGCCAUGGGCACACAGCCACUCUCAGAACUGCUGUCCCCCGCAGGACGCACAUGUGAGAACAUAGGUGGGUCAGCACCAGGCAAAGGUGCUGUCUCCGUUUCCACCUGAGGGCACUGUUUUGGAGGGGGUGGUGGGACGGUCCCUGCCCUGGUCCUGAUUCAUGCCCACAUCACUGGACCGUUCCCACCGGAUGCACGCUGCUGCUUGGUGGCUGUCCCGGCUGCCUGGUCCCCCCGUUUAGCCCUGACUCACCCGUCACGAAACCAUUUCCCGUCUCCUGACUCACAGGCUCCCCAACCCGUUCAAACCCGACGCUCCUUUUACAAAAUAUAUUUAUAUAAUAGAUAUUAUAUUGUAUUUAUAUAAUAUUUGGUAAUGUGCCUUUCUAUCCUGAAGUUGAAUUUACAGGUAUAUAAUUCACGUGUACAUAUGAUGUUUAAAACAAUAUAAUGUCUUCAUUAUAAUAUAAAAGAGGAUUAAAAGGAAGGUAAUUUGCCAUAAAAUCAUAUACAGGGACGCUGGACUCCCUCGGCCACAUAAAGAAGGAUUCAGACGCUUGCCCCCUUCCAGGGUCCCCAGGAAGGCAACAGCUGCAAGUGCAGAUGCUCACAGGUGUGCCCGUGGGUGAGGCCAAUGGUGACGCGAUUUUCCGAAAUGGUGACCAGCUCUUGGUUAACGUCCAAAUGAAACCAAGAACAGCCCUCCUCAAUUGACACGGUCGUUGCACUCCUGGAAAAUUCAGUGACUAUGAAAACUGGGGAGGAAGAGAAAAUUUGCAUUUA
rnacentral:lncRNA from 1 species